rnacentral:lncRNA from 1 species
UGCAUGGAUAACUGCAGCUGCUGCUGCAUGGCUUGCACUGCUUCGGUGAGGCCCCUGACUUUCUAAACCAGUAGGUUGAACUGCUCCAUGCCAACUGUCGUUGCCAGAGGAGGAAGAGCCUUGAAAACUAGAGAUGAGAUCGGAGCUUGCGGAUCUCGCUGAGAUCUGGCCACGGAGGUCGUAGAUCACCUGGUGGAUGCCUUUCAAGGAGGCAUCAGGUAGGGAUCUGACAGGAGAAGAGGAAGAAAAUAUCGAAGAAGAUGAUCGGAGACAGUCCCGUUGAGUACUCCUUUAAGAAUAAGGGUCCUAUGAAGGCACAGUCCUUCCUCUAGUACCAAUUCUG